GGGACAUGAAGUACUUCGGUAUGUAAAGUUCUUUUAUUGAAAAAGAAAAAAUAGUGGAAAAACUAUCUUGACAUUAUUCAAUGAAUAAGCCCCGGCUAAUUAUGUGCCAGCAGCCGCGGUAAUACAUAAGGGGCGAGCGUUAUCCGGAAUUAUUGGGCGUAAAGGGUGCGUAGGCGGUUUGAUAAGUCUAUAGUUUAAAUGCAGUGCUUAACGCUGUAGCGCUAUAGAAACUGUCUGACUAGAGUUAGAUAGAGGCAAGCGGAAUUCCAUGUGUAGCGGUAAAAUGCGUAAAUAUAUGGAGGAACACCAGAGGCGUAGGCGGCUUGCUGGGUCUUAACUGACGCUGAGGCACGAAAGCGUGGGGAGCAAACAGGAUUAGAUACCCUGGUAGUCCACGCCGUAAACGAUGAGUACUAAGUGUCGGGUUUCGGCUCGGUACUGAAGUUAACACAUUAAGUACUCCGCCUGAGUAGUACGUACGCAAGUAUGAAACUUAAAGGAAUUGACGGGACCCCGCACAAGCGGUGGAUCAUGUUGUUUAAUUCGAAGAUACACGAAAAACCUUACCAGGUCUUGACAUAAUUUUGCGACAUUAUAGAAAUAUAAUGAAGGUUAUCAGAAUUACAGGUGGUGCAUGGUUGUCGUCAGCUCGUGUCGUGAGAUGUUAGGUUAAGUCCUAAAACGAGCGCAACCCUUGUCGUUAGUUGCGACCACGUAAUGGUGAGCACUUUAGCGAGACUGCCAAUGAAAAAUUGGAGGAAGGUGAGGAUUACGUCAAAUCAUCAUGCCCCUUAUGAUCUGGGCUACAAACGUGAUAC
rnacentral:rRNA from 1 species